UGCGAUGAGUCGAGUAAGCACGGUUCUUGUGCUGAAAGUUGCAGCUGACUGGUUAAAAGCCACCCGCCGGAUUGUGGGGUCAGCGAUCUCAAGGUUGUGGAGCCA
rnacentral:ncRNA from 27 species